AUUGAACGCUGGCGGCAGGCCUAACACAUGCAAGUCGAACGAGUGGCGGACGGGUGAGUAAUGUCUGGGAAACUGCCCGAUGGAGGGGGAAAACUACGGGAAACGUUGGCAAAACCCGCUAACCACGGGUUGGGCCCAGAUGGGAUUAGCUAGUAGGUGGGGUAACGGCUCACCUAGGCGACGAUCCCUAGCUGGUCUGAGAGGAUGACCAGCCACACUGGAACUGAGACACGGUCCAGACUCCUACGGGAGGCAGCAGUGGGGAAUAUUGCACAAUGGGCGCAAGCCUGAUACAGCCAUGCCGCGUGUAUGAAGAAGGCCUUCGGGUUGUAAAGUACUUUCAGCGAGGAGGCGUUACUCGCAGAAGAAGCACCGGCUAACUCCGUGCCAGCAGCCGCGGUAAUAC
rnacentral:rRNA from 1 species